GAUGAACGCUGGCGGCGUGCCUAAUACAUGCAAGUCGAGCGAACGGACGAGAAGCUUGCUUCUCUGAUGUUAGCGGCGGACGGGUGAGUAACACGUGGAUAACCUACCUAUAAGACUGGGAUAACUUCGGGAAACCGUAGCUAAUACCGGAUAAUAUUUUGAACCGCAUGGUUCAAAAGUGAAAAACGGUCUUGCUGUCACUUAUAGAUGGAUCCGCGCUGCAUUAGAUAGUUGGUAAGGUAACGGCUUACCAAGGCAACGAUGCAUAGCCGACCUGAGAGGGUGAUCGGCCACACUGGAACUGAGACACGGUCCAGACUCCUACGGGAGGCAGCAGUAGGGAAUCUUCCGCAAUGGGCGAAAGCCUGACGGAGCAACGCCGCGUGAGUGAUGAAGGUCUUCGGAUCGUAAAACUCUGUUAUUAGGGAAGAACAUAUGUGUAAGUAACUGUGCACAUCUUGACGGUACCUAAUCAGAAAGCCACGGCUAACUACGUG
rnacentral:rRNA from 1 species